rnacentral:rRNA from 1 species
UACGUAGGGUGCAAGCGUUAAUCGGAAUUACUGGGCGUAAAGCGUGCGCAGGCGGUUGGGCAAGACAGAGGUGAAAUCCCCGGGCUUAACCUGGGAAUGGCCUUUGUGACUGCCCGGCUAGAGUGUGUCAGAGGGGGGUAGAAUUCCACGUGUAGCAGUGAAAUGCGUAGAUAUCUGGAGGAAUACCGGUGGCGAAGGCGGCAUCCUGGACCAUUACUGACGCCGAGGCGCGAAAGCUAGGGGAGCAAACGGG